rnacentral:tRNA from 1 species
GCUGGCGUAGCUCAAUGGUAGAGCGCCUGAUUUGUAAUCAGGGGGUUGCGGGUUCGAGUCCCAUCGCCAGCGCCA